UAUAGCUUAUCCUCCAAACACACAGACAAAGCAACAGGAAUACAGUUGUGGGGCAUACAUGGUUACUUUCCUCUGAUAUACAUAAAACUUCCUCCAAAUCAGCACAGCUUCGAUCGAGGCUUUCGCCGCACUUUAGGUCAAUUACCUUCACAGCUGAUGUGUUACGGCUCCUGCCAUUUAACCUGUAAUUACGAUCCUCUUGUCUGUGCAGGACAAUGCUCCAUGCCAAACAGCCAGGUCAAUCAAGUUGUGAAUAGAGGACCAACUGAUCAAGACCCUGUCAUGGCCAGCCCAUUCUCCAGACCAGAACCCCAUUGAAAACCUCUAGAAUGUGAUCAAGAGGAAGAUUUUACUCAAACACAUACCUAUAAAUAGUAAAACCAAAGAAAGUGGUCUCUUAA